rnacentral:rRNA from 1 species
GCAGUAAGGAAUAUUGGUCAAUGGAGGCAACUCUGAACCAGCCAUGCCGCGUGCAGGAAGACGGCCCUAUGGGUUGUAAACUGCUUUUAUCUGGGAAUAAACCUAUUUACGUGUAAGUAGCUGAAUGUACCAGAAGAAUAAGGAUCGGCUAACUCCGUGCCAGCAGCCGCGGUAAUACGGAGGAUCCAAGCGUUAUCCGGAUUUAUUGGGUUUAAAGGGUGCGUAGGCGGCAGUUUAAGUCAGAGGUGAAAGACGGUAGCUCAACUAUCGCAGUGCCUUUGAUACUGAAUUGCUUGAAUGAACUAGAGGUAGGCGGAAUGAGACAAGUAGCGGUGAAAUGCAUAGAUAUGUCUCAGAACACCGAUUGCGAAGGCAGCUUACUAUGGUUUUAUUGACGCUGAGGCACGAAAGCGUGGGGAUCAAACAGGAUUAGA